rnacentral:rRNA from 1 species
UACGUAGGGGGCUAGCGUUGCUCGGAAUUACUGGGCGUAAAGGGUGCGUAGGCGGGUCUUUAAGUUAGGGGUGAAAUCCUGGAGCUCAACUCCAGAACUGCCUUUGAUACUGGAGAUCUUGAGUUCGGGAGAGGUGAGUGGAACUGCGAGUGUAGAGGUGAAAUUCGUAGAUAUUCGCAAGAACACCAGUGGCGAAGGCGGCUCACUGGCCCGAUACUGACGCUGAGGUGCGAAAGCGUGGGGAGCAAACAGG